UACGAAGGGGGCUAGCGUUGCUCGGAUUUACUGGGCGUAAAGGGCGCGUAGGCGGACAGUUUAGUCAGAGGUGAAAGCCCAGGGCUCAACCUUGGAAUUGCCUUUGAUACUGGCUGUCUUGAGUACGGGAGAGGUGAGUGGAACUCCGAGUGUGGAGGUGAAAUUCGUAGAUAUUCGGAAGAACACCAGUGGCGAAGGCGACUCACUGGCCCGUUACUGACGCUGAGGCGCGAAAGCGUGGGGAGCAAACAGG
rnacentral:rRNA from 1 species